rnacentral:rRNA from 1 species
CACGUAGGGGGCGAGCGUUGUCCGGAUUUAUUGGGCGUAAAGAGCUCGUAGGCGGUUCGGCAAGUCGGGUGUGAAAUUUCGAGGCUCAACCUCGAAACGCCACUCGAUACUGCUGUGACUGGAGUCCGGUAGAGGAGUGCGGAAUUCCUGGUGUAGCGGUGAAAUGCGCAGAUAUCAGGAGGAACACCAAUAGCGAAGGCAGCUCGCUGGGACGGUACUGACGCUAAGGCGCGAAAGCGUGGGGAGCGAACAGG